UAGUCCACGCUGUAAACGAUGUCUACUAGCCGUUGGUUUCCUUGAGGAAGCAGUGGCGCAGCUAACGCGAUAAGUAGACCGCCUGGGGAGUACGGCCGCAAGGUUAAAACUCAAAUGAAUUGACGGGGGCCCGCACAAGCGGUGGAGCAUGUGGUUUAAUUCGAUGCAACGCGAAGAACCUUACCAGGUCUUGACAUCCUGAAAACUUUCUAGAGAUAGAUUGGUGUCUUCGGGAAUUCAGUGACAGGUGCUGCAUGGCUGUCGUCAGCUCGUGUCGUGAGAUGUUGGGUUAAGUCCCGUAACGAGCGCAACCCUUGUCCUUAGUUGCUAGCAGGUAAUGCUGAGAACUCUAAGGAGACUGCCGGUGACAAACCGGAGGAAGUGGGGACGACGUCAAGUCAUCAUGGCCCUUACGACCUGGGCUACACACGUGCUACAAUGGGCAGUACAAAGCGAUGCCAACUCGUGAGAGCGCGCAAACCGCAUAAAGUAGUGCCC
rnacentral:rRNA from 1 species